rnacentral:lncRNA from 1 species
GGUUUAACGCCGUCACAUGGUGACCCCCUAUGGAUCUUAGGGGUUAGUAAAUUUCAUAUGGGUUCAUGACGUCUGUCUAUUUUUAAUGGUGACGUCAUCUAUUGAUGUUGUUGUAUUUCAUUGUUUAUUUUUAUACAAAACGCAGCAGGAAAAGUCCCAUGUGCGAUAAAUUCGUUAUAUCGUAUAUAUGGUUCACUACUUACCCCCUUCGGCCUCAGCCCCUAUGGAUUUUACUAACCCUCUAUGGAUCCGUAGGGGGUCAAUAGCGAACCAUAUAACUUAUAACUGUAAGUUUAUUUUAUUGAAACAGGGAGAUAACACACACA